GCUCUGGAAGUGAAAUAGGGACGAAAGCUGAAAUUUCUGAAUCACAUUGUUGAGGCCUAAGUGUACCCCCUUAAAUUCAGAACACAUUAAACUAAAAACUGAUUAUGCAUAUGUUAAUUUUUUUGGUUCAAUCAUUUCGCUGCGUACUCAAUAGUGUUUAUUCUUUCCCAAAAAUCUUUUCAGAGCCCAUCAUGGAUUCGGAUGGGUUGGAGAAUGGGCAAAUACAGGGUCCGAUAUAAAACCUGCUAGCCAGGUUGAUCUUCUUCGGAUUGAGACACUGUAUCAUGCAGAUAAGGAGAAAACAGAAGCAUAUAUUCUUGAAUUAGUGGUGUGGCUCCAUUAUCUUGUGAGUCAGUCAAGAAGUGCUGCUAAUGGUGGAGUAAGAUCUCCGGUAAAAUCUCCAAUCCAUUCCCCUAAUCAAAAGACGAUUCAGUUGUCUAGCCACAAACCAAGCUCUCCAUCAUCCCCGUUAACGGUUGAAGACCGAGAAAUGCUUCGUGAUGUAAGCAAGAGAAAACUAACUCCAGGGAUUAGCAAGUCUCAAGAAUUUGCAAAAACAGGGUUGAGCAAGUACCACAGGCUGAGUAAGAGCAAUAGCCAUUCACCUAUAAAUGAAACCAGAAAGGACCCUUUCCCUAUAAAUGAAACCAGAAAGGACUCUUUCAAACCUGAAUAGAGCUCUUUUAGUUAGUUGAGGCCUAAUGCAUCAACAGAUAUCUUCAUUAUGUCCUGGUUGUGUUUGGGAGCUGAAUUAUCUCUAACACGUAGCAGAUCAGAUACCUGUUGCUAUGCAAUAUUUCCAGUAAAUUCAGGGUUCAGCAAUGAGUCGUGGUGAUUUUCUCUCUCUUUUUUGUUUUCUCGCAAAAAAGUGGGGUUUGGUACCGGACCAUGGUGCGUAGGUGGAUGGGACAAGGAGUUAAGAGUAGAAUCCCUCUUAUUUUUUUUUUUUUUUUUUUGGGUGGAGAGAUGUGUAUUAGAGGAUCUAUCAUCUUAUGUACAGAAUGUUUUUUUUUUUUUUGGGUGGAGAGAAAUGUGUAUUGGAGGAUCUAUUAUCUUAAGUGCAGAAUGAUUUAAAUAAUUAAAAGUUACUCCCUCUAUUUCAAAAAAAUGGACACUUUUCACUUUUUAAGAGUCAAGCUUUUUUAUUUUGAUCGUGUGACUUAACAUUAAAUCUUUUAUUUUUUCGAAAUAAAAUUUUCAUAGUUGAAAAAUACAUAAAAAGUACUAUAAGCCACCAUAAUUAAAAAUUUAAAAUAUUUAAAGGACGUAUGAAAAAAGUAAGAUAAAAAAAUAACUUGUUUGACUCUCGAAAAGCGAAAAGUGUCAAUCUUUUUUGGACGGAGGGAGUAUGUUUUUCUCCUUAAUUACUCCCUCCGGAUAAAAAAAAGAGUCCACUUAGAAAAUCAAGAAAGAAUUAACCGACAAGUGAGGGAUGGCUCAGUGGUUAAGCACCUUCACCCACGACCGGUAGGUCCUGGGUUCGAGUCACACUGGAGGGGAAGUGUGGAAACACUAUAAAUCCUCCUAAAAUGGGAGGGGAAAAAAAGAAAAAAAAAGAAAAGAAAGAAUUAACCUUGCUUCUCCAUAAUUGCCCCUAUUAAGUGUUAUAUGAUCAAAUCCCAAUGCUUAUUUAAU